rnacentral:tRNA from 1 species
GGGGUUGUGGCUCAGCGGUGGAGCGCUCACCUGGGAUGUCUGAGGCCCUGGGUUUGAACCUCAGCACCA